CAGUAGCCACGGGAAUACGUAGGUGGCAAGCGUUGUCCGGAAUUAUUGGGCGUAAAGGGCUCGCAGGCGGUUUCUUAAGUCUGAUGUGAAAGCCCCCGGCUCAACCGGGGAGGGUCAUUGGGAACUGGGAAACUUGAGUGCAGAAGAGGAGAGUGGAAUUCCACGUGUAGCGGUGAAAUGCGUAGAGAUGUGGAGGAACACCAGUGGCGAAGGCGACUCUCUGGUCUGUAACUGACGCUGAGGAGCGAAAGCGUGGGGAGCGAACAGGAUUAGAUACCCCCGUAGUCCCUGUCUCUUAUAC
rnacentral:rRNA from 1 species